rnacentral:rRNA from 1 species
CCUACGGGUGGCUGCAGUGAGGAAUAUUGGUCAAUGGCCGGAAGGCUGAACCAGCCAUGCCGCGUGAAGGUCAGUGCCCUAUGGGCGUUAAACUUCUUUUGUGCGGGAGCAAUAUUGGUCACGUUUGGCCAGACGAGAGUACCGUCUGAAUAAGCAUCGGCUCACUCCGUGCCAGCAGCCGCGGUAAUACGGGGGGUGCAAGCGUUAUCCGGAUUUAUUGGGUUUAAAGGGUGCUUAGGCUGUGAGGUAAGUCAGCGGUGAAAUGCUCCCGCUCAACGGGGUGAAGUGCCAUUGAUACUGCAUGGCUGGAAUGCGGAUGCCGUGGGAGGAAUGUGUGGUGUAGCGGUGAAAUGCAUAGAUAUCAGACAGAACACCGAUUGCGAAGGCAUCUCACGAAUCCGCGAUUGACGCUGAUGCACGAAAGCGUGGGUAUCAAACAGGAUUAGAUACCCUGGUAGUC